GUCAUAUCAGCUUGAAACAGCACUUCUCGUCCGAUCACUGAAGUUAAGCAAUGUCGAGACUAGUCCGUUUCCUCAAUGGGUGACCGCUUGGGAAUACCAGGUGCUGUAA